rnacentral:rRNA from 1 species
UACGUAGGGAGCAAGCGUUGUCCGGAAUCAUUGGGCGUAAAGCGCGCGUAGGUGGCUCUAUAAGUCCGUUGUGAAAGUCAAAGGCUCAACCUUUGAAAGCCGAUGGAUACUGUAGAGCUAGAGUCCGGAAGAGGCGAGUGGAAUUCCUGGUGUAGCGGUGGAAUGCGCAGAUAUCAGGGGGAACACCAAUAGCGAAGGCAGCUCGCUGGGACGUUACUGACACUGAGGCGCGAAAGCGUGGGGAGCGAACAGG